ACAAAGCAGCUGGACCCGUGCUGGGUGUUCAGCUGGACCCAUGUUGGGUGUUCAGCUGGACCCAUGUUGGGUGUUCAGCUGGACUCAACAUUGGGUGUUCAGCAGUUUUCACUCCAGCAAAGCAGUUGGACCCAUGUUGGGUGUUCAGCAGGGCCCACUUUGGAUGCCCAGCAGGUUUCUCUCCCUCUCUCUCUCUCGGCUUUCCCCUCGCAGGCAUCGCGUGCUGCUGCUUCACGUAGUCCCUGUUUUCUACUGCACAGCAGAUCCCCUGCCUGGUCAGUGAAAUCCUCCUCCUUUUUUCCUCUCUCUUGUUUCGCUUUCCUGCGUCUUCCCCGCUCCAAGUUGAAGAGUUUCCCAAUUUCCUGUUCCAAGCAGCUGCUCAGCAGUUUUUGGAGCUGUGCAGCGAGGGCUCUAGUUACACAUGAACUCCUGACCUUCAUUUUGAAAUGCUCCCUUUAUCCCCACGUGCACUUUCUUCCCCAGGAUGCUUUUUCCCACAUCACUGAGCUCCUUUGGUAUUCUUGGAGUUGUGUAUUUCUCUUCACAUUUUACCUGGAUUGUGGGGUGGGAUCAUUGGGGAGGGGACUAAGUAUUAUUAUCUCAUUAGUCUUCAGGUUUAGGAUUUGGGGAUUGUUCAGAGGGGAUUAGUUCCUUAUCCAAAGCAAGGGUUAAAAUGGGAGGAUUUAAAACAAGUCACUAAUUUGUGCCUCAUCCCCCUGCCAAAAAUAGCAAUUUCUUGGCCCCAUUGAGAUGAGCAAUAGGGAAGGGAGUGAGAUUUUCCACAGGUAACAUAGAUUUCCAUAGAUCCAUGGUACCUGUAACCUAAACAGCAGGGAGAUAGUGGCAGUAUAACAUAAAAUGAUGCUUUUAUAAGCUAGAGCUUUACUGAAGAUGUAUUUUCCAUUUGGGCAGCAAAAAUAAUUUGCUGCCUGAUAGCAGAACCCUUAAGCCAACACUUCUGUAUGAUAUAUACAUACCUACCAAUAGGAAAAGUUGUGGUUAAUAAGAUAUUUUGUUAUAAAGCAAAGUUUUAUGAAGAUAUGGUUGUUUAAUAUUAGAAACCUAUUUCAGCCCUUGACCUCCAGUGUGAGUAGGAGAUCCCUGAGUGGCUGCAGUCCGAGGCAAGCGACCUGUGGGGAUGCAAAAUCUCUGACCCAACUCUCCAGAGCAUAAUUGCCUCUGUGGGUGUAUUUAUGGCAUUGUACCUGCUAUCAGUGAGAUGCUGUAACUCUUGUCCAACUUCCUCAGCACAAUUAAGAGUCUGGGUUUCAGAGAAGGGAAUAAACAAAGGCCAUUAAAGAGUGGAAUGGGAUGA
rnacentral:lncRNA from 1 species